rnacentral:rRNA from 1 species
GGUCAAGUGAAGAAGCGCAUACGGUGGAUGCCUUGGCAGUCAGAGGCGAUGAAAGACGUGGUAGCCUGCGAAAAGCUUCGGGGAGUCGGCAAACAGACUUUGAUCCGGAGAUCUCUGAAUGGGGGAACCCACCUAGGAUAACCUAGGUAUCUUGUACUGAAUCCAUAGGUGCAAGAGGCGAACCAGGGGAACUGAAACAUCUAAGUACCCUGAGGAAAAGAAAUCAACCGAGAUUCCCUUAGUAGUGGCGAGCGAACGGGGAUUAGCCCUUAAGCUUCAUUGAUUUUAGCGGAACGCUCUGGAAAGUGCGGCCAUAGUGGGUGAUAGCCCCGUACGCGAAAGGAUCUUUGAAGUGAAAUCGAGUAGGACGGAGCACGAGAAACUUUGUCUGAACAUGGGGGGACCAUCCUCCAAGGCUAAAUACUACUGACUGACCGAUAGUGAACCAGUACCGUGAGGGAAAGGCGAAAAGAACCCCGGAGAGGGGAGUGAAAUAGAACCUGAAACCGUAUGCGUACAAGCAGUGGGAGCCUACUUGUUAGGUGACUGCGUACCUUUUGUAUAAUGGGUCAGCGACUUAUAUUCAGUGGCAAGCUUAACCGUAUAGGGUAGGCGUAGCGAAAGCGAGUCUUAAUAGGGCGUUUAGUCGCUGGGUAUAGACCCGAAACCGGGCGAUCUAUCCAUGAGCAGGUUGAAGGUUAGGUAACACUGACUGGAGGACCGAACCCACUCCCGUUGAAAAGGUAGGGGAUGACUUGUGGAUCGGAGUGAAAGGCUAAUCAAGCUCGGAGAUAGCUGGUUCUCCUCGAAAGCUAUUUAGGUAGCGCCUCAUGUAUCACUCUGGGGGGUAGAGCACUGUUUCGGCUAGGGGGUCAUCCCGACUUACCAAACCGAUGCAAACUCCGAAUACCCAGAAGUGCCGAGCAUGGGAGACACACGGCGGGUGCUAACGUCCGUCGUGAAAAGGGAAACAACCCAGACCGCCAGCUAAGGUCCCAAAGUUGUGGUUAAGUGGUAAACGAUGUGGGAAGGCUUAGACAGCUAGGAGGUUGGCUUAGAAGCAGCCAUCCUUUAAAGAAAGCGUAAUAGCUCACUAGUCGAGUCGGCCUGCGCGGAAGAUGUAACGGGGCUCAAACCACACACCGAAGCUGCGGGUGUCACGUAAGUGACGCGGUAGAGGAGCGUUCUGUAAGCCUGUGAAGGUGAGUUGAGAAGCUUGCUGGAGGUUAUCAGAAGUGCGAAUGCUGACAUGAGUAACGACAAUGGGUGUGAAAAACACCCACGCCGAAAGACCAAGGGUUCCUGCGCAACGUUAAUCGACGCAGGGUUAGUCGGUUCCUAAGGCGAGGCUGAAAAGCGUAGUCGAUGGGAAACAGGUUAAUAUUCCUGUACUUCUGGUUACUGCGAUGGAGGGACGGAGAAGGCUAGGCCAGCUUGGCGUUGGUUGUCCAAGUUUAAGGUGGUAGGCUGAAAUCUUAGGUAAAUCCGGGGUUUCAAGGCCGAGAGCUGAUGACGAGUCGUCUUUUAGAUGACGAAGUGGUUGAUGCCAUGCUUCCAAGAAAAGCUUCUAAGCUUCAGGUAACCAGGAACCGUACCCCAAACCGACACAGGUGGUCGGGUAGAGAAUACCAAGGCGCUUGAGAGAACUCGGGUGAAGGAACUAGGCAAAAUGGCACCGUAACUUCGGGAGAAGGUGCGCCGGCUAGGGUGAAGGAUUUACUCCGUAAGCUCUGGCUGGUCGAAGAUACCAGGCCGCUGCGACUGUUUAUUAAAAACACAGCACUCUGCAAACACGAAAGUGGACGUAUAGGGUGUGACGCCUGCCCGGUGCCGGAAGGUUAAUUGAUGGGGUUAGCGCAAGCGAAGCUCUUGAUCGAAGCCCCGGUAAACGGCGGCCGUAACUAUAACGGUCCUAAGGUAGCGAAAUUCCUUGUCGGGUAAGUUCCGACCUGCACGAAUGGCGUAACGAUGGCGGCGCUGUCUCCACCCGAGACUCAGUGAAAUUGAAAUCGCUGUGAAGAUGCAGUGUAUCCGCGGCUAGACGGAAAGACCCCGUGAACCUUUACUGUAGCUUUGCACUGGACUUUGAGCCUGCUUGUGUAGGAUAGGUGGGAGGCUUUGAAGCGUGGACGCCAGUUCGCGUGGAGCCAUCCUUGAAAUACCACCCUGGCAUGCUUGAGGUUCUAACUCUGGUCCGUGAUCCGGAUCGAGGACAGUGUAUGGUGGGCAGUUUGACUGGGGCGGUCUCCUCCUAAAGAGUAACGGAGGAGUACGAAGGUGCGCUCAGACCGGUCGGAAAUCGGUCGCAGAGUAUAAAGGCAAAAGCGCGCUUGACUGCGAGACAGACACGUCGAGCAGGUACGAAAGUAGGUCUUAGUGAUCCGGUGGUUCUGUAUGGAAGGGCCAUCGCUCAACGGAUAAAAGGUACUCCGGGGAUAACAGGCUGAUACCGCCCAAGAGUUCAUAUCGACGGCGGUGUUUGGCACCUCGAUGUCGGCUCAUCACAUCCUGGGGCUGAAGCCGGUCCCAAGGGUAUGGCUGUUCGCCAUUUAAAGUGGUACGCGAGCUGGGUUUAGAACGUCGUGAGACAGUUCGGUCCCUAUCUGCCGUGGACGUUUGAGAUUUGAGAGGGGCUGCUCCUAGUACGAGAGGACCGGAGUGGACGAACCUCUGGUGUUCCGGUUGUCACGCCAGUGGCAUUGCCGGGUAGCUAUGUUCGGAAAAGAUAACCGCUGAAAGCAUCUAAGCGGGAAACUUGCCUCAAGAUGAGAUCUCACUGGGAACUUGAUUCCCCUGAAGGGCCGUCGAAGACUACGACGUUGAUAGGCUGGGUGUGUAAGCGUUGUGAGGCGUUGAGCUAACCAGUACUAAUUGCCCGUGAGGCUUGACCAU